AAGGAAUUGUACAACCAGUGACCAUGACAUGUUAUGGUGAAAUGAAAUGACAUUUAUCUGUUUCUGCAGAUGAGUGCAGUGGGAAUUACAGAAAAUGUGAAAGGAGAUGUGAAGAAAUUUGAAAUCUGGUACAAUGGCAGAGAAGUAGUGUACAUAGUUCAGGUAUUUCAUCUUCUGCUUUUUGUUUUCUAGCUAACUAUACAGAGAAACUUUAGCUUUUUCACGCACACACAUACACACACAGUGCUGUGCUGUCUGUUUAGGCUUCCACAGUGGAGGUCAAAGUUGCCUGGCUGACAGAGAUUCGAAAAAUUCUCAUCAACCAGCAGAAACUGCGUCAAGAAGAGGGACCUCCUCUACCACUUUCAGACAACCCCCUCUCUGACAGUGCAUCAGAGAUGUGUGUGUCGUGGGGCGGAGCAUCGGUGGGAGGCUGCUCAGCGUGUCUCCCUGUUCCUCACAGCUCCUCAACAACAAGCCACUCCCACAGGAUCAGAAGGGAGGAGUCAAUUGAUAAUAGCCCCACCCACUCAGACCCAGUGGUUCACUCACCCCGACGCAGUUGGCCUGUCCAUGCCCACUCAGUGGCAAUCUGUGAAGGCCUGGAGGACUGGGGCGCAACAGACCUCUCCAACCUCUCGGACUCAGAGGAGGAG
rnacentral:lncRNA from 1 species